rnacentral:rRNA from 1 species
UACGUAGGGUGCGAGCGUUGUCCGGAAUUAUUGGGCGUAAAGAGCUUGUAGGCGGUCUGUCGCGUCUGCUGUGAAAAUCCGGGGGCUCAACCCCCGGACUUGCAGUGGGUACGGGCAGACUAGAGUGUGGUAGGGGAGACUGGAAUUCCUGGUGUAGCGGUGAAAUGCGCAGAUAUCAGGAGGAACACCGAUGGCGAAGGCAGGUCUGC